GAUUUGGAGAGUCAUCAUUCUUGGUCUUCCCUCUUAAAGAGUUUGUGUUGGCCUGGAACAACAUGGGGAGAGUAAAUUAUGACCAUUUUUAUUAUUUGGUGAACUAAACCCUUUGAAGAGCAGUCCUCCACAUACAUGAACAUUUGUGAGGCCACUGAUGAAGACCAGGCGGUGACUGGGAUGAAUGCUGGUCAGAGAGGAAAAUCUUCUUUCCCCCAAUCUGAUGCAACAGUGGUUUUAAAGGAAGGACACUGCCCUGGAUGAUGUCGUCACAUACUGUGCUGAUGAGGCUUCUUCAUGACUACAUCAAUUAUGCUAAAGAGAUUAUGAAAGUUGACAUUGAUGCAUGAUCUUUAUUCAUGGACUAUGAAACGAACUAAUGAACAUCGCAACAGCGCUGGAUCCUAGUUGCUUCAUCUGUCUAGUCUGUGUCAGACGGAACAGAACGCAGAAUGUGAAGUAUAUUAAAGCGGGCCUUAAAGCUGCCUCCUUAACGGACACCUACAAUUCGCAUGCAACAUUUUUGCAUUCGAAUGUGGAUUUUUAAAAUUUUUAUUCUACGAAUAUUCGACAUUCGAUUUAAUUUUUUUUUGACAGCCCUAGUGCUAACAUGGUAGCUCAAUAUAAGAAUACACAUCCGAUCAUCUAAUCACUUGAAUGUCCAAACCAUAAAACAAAUACAACUGACAAAGUUUAGGGAAGACACAAGGCCAUCGCUAUGUGUUGAACUGGCUUUCACCUUCAUGUUUUGCUUUUAUGCCAUUGACUGGAUGGGGCAGAGUCAUGUGGCUACACACGCAGUAGUAGGCUUUUAAGGGGGAAGUAAUAACAGGAUUAAAAAAAACGAAAUAACUGACAUGGGAAAAUUACGUCGGUUAGAAGUACUGAAUUUCGGUUAAUGGUACUUUUCGAUUAAUGGUCCAGCUCUACUCACACGACCUGAAAAGUGAAGCUGUGGUCUUUGACUGCCCCUGGUGGCUGGCCACAGUACAUGUCAUAAACCCCGCCCUCUCCAUGUAAACAAAUAGGACACGAGUCCAAAAAAAUAAAAAUAAAAUUAAUAAUUACACAAUUACAAUACAUUGCAAUAAAAAUAAAAAAAUAAAAAUAAACGGGCGUGUCGUUAUGGUUGAUUGGGUCUGUUGGAGUUUGGGUGGAGUUUGAAUAAAAUGCAUGACCCGAUCGCUCAUAAAAAAAAAAAGAAAAAA